GAUUACGGCCAUACCACCUUAGGCACGCCCGAUCUCGUCUGAUCUUGGAAGCUAAGCAGGGUCGGGCCUGGUUAGUACUUGGAUGGGUGACCGCCUGGGAAUACCAGGUGCUGUAAGCA
rnacentral:rRNA from 1 species